AUUGAACGCUGGCGGCAGGCCUAACACAUGCAAGUCGAGCGGAUGAAGGUAGCUUGCUACCUGAUUCAGCGGCGGACGGGUGAGUAAUGCCUAGGAAUCUGCCUGGUAGUGGGGGACAACGUUUCGAAAGGAACGCUAAUACCGCAUACGUCCUACGGGAGAAAGUGGGGGAGCUUCGGACCUCACGCUAUCAGAUGAGCCUAGGUACGAUUAGCUAGUUGGUGAGGUAAGGCUCACCAAGGCGACGAUCGUUAACUGGUCUGAGAGGAUGAUCAGUCACACUGGAACUGAGACACGGUCCAGACUCCUACGGGAGGCAGCAGUGGGGAAUAUUGGACAAUGGGCGAAAGCCUGAUCCAGCCAUGCCGCGUGUGUGAAGAAGGUCUUCGGAUUGUAAAGCACUUUAAGUUGGGAGGAAGGGCAGUAAGUUAAUACCUUGCUGUUUUGACGUUACCGACAGAAUAAGCACCGGCUAACUUCGUGCCAGCCGCCGCAGUAAUAC
rnacentral:rRNA from 1 species